rnacentral:lncRNA from 1 species
UAUUGUUAUUCUUUGAUAGUAAUUAUAAAAUUUUUAUGUUACGAAAAGUCAUUAUUUUAUUAUGAUAAUUAAUAGUGACAAUAAAUAAAAUAUCACAUCAAAUAAUAUUUAAUGGAAAAAAUGAGGAAAAAAAUCAUUGCAUGUUUUUAUAUUUCCAUUAUAAAGAUAUGGUUUGGGAUACUUUAACUUAAAAUUUUGACACAAUAUUUGAGCCACUAAUAUAUCAUAAUCUAAUGGUUGAUAUUGAAAGUCAAAGCAACAUUUCAUAAUGUUAUAUCCUCCACCAUUGAAUUGCAUGAAAUAAAUAAUUUUAUUUUU